rnacentral:rRNA from 1 species
GACGCUGACGAGUGGCGAACGGGUGAGUAAUACAUCGGAACGUGCCCAGUCGUGGGGGAUAACUACUCGAAAGAGUAGCUAAUACCGCAUACGAUCUGAGGAUGAAAGCGGGGGACCUUCGGGCCUCGCGCGAUUGGAGCGGCCGAUGGCAGAUUAGGUAGUUGGUGGGAUAAAAGCUUACCAAGCCGACGAUCUGUAGCUGGUCUGAGAGGACGACCAGCCACACUGGGACUGAGACACGGCCCAGACUCCUACGGGAGGCAGCAGUGGGA